CCUACGGGAGGCAGCAGUGAGGAAUAUUGGGCAAUGGAGGCAACUCUGACCCAGCCAUGCCGCGUGCAGGAAGACUGCCCUGUGGGUUGUAAACUGCUCUUAUACAGGAAGAAACACACCUACGUGUAGGUGCUUGACGGUACUGUAAGAAUAAGCACCGGCUAACUCCGUGCCAGCAGCCGCGGUAAU
rnacentral:rRNA from 1 species